UGAUUGUAGUAUUUCCUCUUUACCUUCUUACUAUCCCUCUGAGUGGAAACAAUUUGCCAGUUUGUGUAUAUGCAAUCAGUAAGUCAUACUGAUCUUUUCUCUAAUGCAAUUCAAAUUUGUAUUUACUUUUAAAGUUCGUAAUUAUACUCAUACUUUGUGGAUUGUUAUUGAUUUAUCUUGGCUUUCUGCUUUUAUUCUCAUAUGUGCUUUUCUUUAUUAUGUUACAAUUCUGCAACGAUUAAUAGAAUAUAACUUCGUCAUCUUUGCAUAUUUACGAUAAAGUAAGUAGGAUUAAGUAGGGUAGAUCUAGUGGAGGAAGGACAUUUACAUAAGUCUUCAUCAUUUUCCGAACUACUUGUUGUAUUUGACCAAUAAAGGUCUUCAUCAUGGAUGUUACCAAGAAAAGAUGUAUUACUACUGGAAGAAGUUGUAUCGGAAUCUGAACUAGAUGGAGAAUCG
rnacentral:lncRNA from 1 species